rnacentral:rRNA from 1 species
UGGGGAAUAUUGCACAAUGGAGGGAACUCUGAUGCAGCAACGCCGCGUGCGGGAUGACGGCCUUCGGGUUGUAAACCGCUUUCAGCCAUGACGAAGCUUUUGUGACGGUAGUGGUAGAAGAAGCACCGGCUAACUACGUGCCAGCAGCCGCGGUGAUACGUAGGGUGCGAGCGUUGUCCGGAAUUAUUGGGCGUAAAGAGCUUGUAGGCGGUUUGUCGCGUCGAUAGUGUAAACACGCAGCUUAACUGUGUGCCUGCUGUCGAUACGGGCUGACUAGAGGAGGGUAGGGGAGAAUGGAAUUCCCGGUGGAGCGGUGGAAUGCGCAGGUAUCGGGAGGAACACCAGUGGCGAAGGCGGUUCUCUGGACCUUUCCUGACGCUGAGAAGCGAAAGCGUGGGUAGCAAACAGG